GAUGAACGCUGGCGGCGUGCCUAAUACAUGCAAGUCGAGCGAACAGACGAGGAGCUUUCUCCUCUGACGUUAGCGGCGGACGGGUGAGUAACACGUGGAUAACCUACCUAUAAGACUGGGAUAACUUCGGGAAACCGGAGCUAAUACCGGAUAAUAUAUUGAACCGCAUGGUUCAAUAGUGAAAGACGGUUUUGCUGUCACUUAUAGAUGGAUCCGCGCCGCAUUAGCUAGUUGGUAAGGUAACGGCUUACCAAGGCAACGAUGCGUAGCCGACCUGAGAGGGUGAUCGGCCACACUGGAACUGAGACACGGUCCAGACUCCUACGGGAGGCAGCAGUAGGGAAUCUUCCGCAAUGGGCGAAAGCCUGACGGAGCAACGCUGCGUGAGUGAUGAAGGUCUUCGGAUCGUAAAACUCUGUUAUUAGGGAAGAACAAAUGUGUAAGUAACUAUGCACGUCUUGACGGUACCUAAUCAGAAAGCCACGGCUAACUACGUG
rnacentral:rRNA from 1 species